rnacentral:tRNA from 2 species
AAUCGGUAGACGCUACGGACUUAAAAUCCGUCGACUUUAAAAAUCGUGA